AUUGAACGCUGGCGGCAUGCCUUACACAUGCAAGUCGAACGGCAGCACGGGUGCUUGCACCUGGUGGCGAGUGGCGAACGGGUGAGUAAUACAUCGGAACGUACCUUAUCGUGGGGGAUAACGCAGCGAAAGUUGCGCUAAUACCGCAUACGCCCUGAGGGGGAAAGCGGGGGACCGUAAGGCCUCGCGCGAUUAGAGCGGCCGAUGUCUGAUUAGCUUGUUGGUGAGGUAAAAGCUCACCAAGGCGAUGAUCAGUAGCUGGUCUGAGAGGACGAGCAGCCACACUGGGACUGAGACACGGCCCAGACUCCUACGGGAGGCAGCAGUGGGGAAUUUUGGACAAUGGGGGCAACCCUGAUCCAGCAAUGCCGCGUGAGUGAAGAAGGCCUUCGGGUUGUAAAGCUCUUUUGUCAGGGAAGAAACAGCAGCUCUAGCACAGUCUGCGAAUGACGGUACCUGAAGAAUAAGCACCGGCUAACUACGUGCCAGCAGCCGCGGUAA
rnacentral:rRNA from 1 species